GCAUGUCAUAGAAGUGAGAUGUAGACAAAUAUGACAAGAAAAAGCCUUCGUUUGAGGUAACAUGGGCAGUAGCACAGCUGGGCUGUGGGGGAGAGGGCCACAGGGAGGAUGUAUGACAAUUGCUGUGCUCUAGUCCCCUUGUAAGCUGCAUCAUCUCUUCAGUUUGCCCCUGCUUGUUGGCUUUCUGCAGGUGGAGCAGGUACCACCUCGCAGGUACAGUGACUCUGAACCACCGAGAAUGUUGCUCAGAUUUGCACGAAGUCAUUCAUAAGAAUCCAAUGUGCCUGCAGAGAGGACAGACGCAAAUGGAGACAGAGACAUCAUGUUUUGGUUCUGCUUUUAGUUACCAAAUGAAGUCAGUGCUUUUAGUCUCUAAGUCCUGGUCCCAAUUUCAUUCCAUAUAUUUUGUCUAAUGAGGACAUACACUGUGUGUAUGAUUUUUUUAUUAACCUUAUUAUGAUAUAUAACAAAGGGAAAGAGUUUGCAAAAGAAAAAUAUACAUCUGAGUGAAUUAUCACAAAGCAAACAGAUGUACAUUUGUUACAAGCUAAAGAAAUACAACACAGGAAGUUGAGGCAGGAGAAUCACAAGUUUGGGGACAGCCUGGAGUAUUUAGCAAGAUUCUGUCUCAAAAAGAAAAAAAGAGAAAAAAUAAGAUAUGGCUUGCAGCCAUUCCACCCAUAUCUUCUCCUUGCCACCGAUCCCUUAUUUCCCAUCAAAGGCAGCCUCUACCUUCACAUUGAAGAUAAUCACUUCCCUUCCCUUUUUGAUUGUCUAACACUAAAUAUACACCUCUAAAGUUGGGUUUUGCCUUGGCUUUUAUAAAUUUUAUACAUAUGGAAUGUCAAUGGGUGUUUUCCUUUGUAUCUAGUAGAUGACCCUG
rnacentral:lncRNA from 1 species